GGGCUCAUAGCUCAGCUGGCUAGAGCGCUUGCAUGGCAUGCAAGAGGCCGCGGGUUCAAGUCCCGCUGAGUCCA
rnacentral:tRNA from 1 species